CCUACGGGAGGCAGCAGUGGGGAAUAUUGGGCAAUGGGCGCAAGCCUGACCCAGCAACGCCGCGUGAAGGAAGAAGGCUUUCGGGUUGUAAACUUCUUUUGUCAGGGACGAAGCAAGUGACGGUACCUGACGAAUAAGCCACGGCUAAACACGGGACAGCAGCCGCGGUAAUACGUAGGUGGCAAGCGUUAUCCGGAUUUACUGGGUGUAAAGGACGUGUAGGCGGGACUGCAAGUCAGAUGUGACAACCACGGGCUCAACCUGUGGCCUGCAUUUGAAACUGUAGUUCUUGAGUACUGGAGAGGCAGACGGAAUUCCUGGUGUAGCGGUGAAAUGCGUAGAUAUUAGGAGGAACACCAGUGGCGAAGGCGGUCUGCUGGACUGCAACUGACGCUGAGGCUCGAAAGUGUGGGUAUCAAACAGGAUUAGAUACCCCAGUAGUC
rnacentral:rRNA from 1 species